GGCCGACCGGCUGGCCGGCGAGAUCGUGGUCGUCGACCGCGGCCGGGUCGCCGCCACCGGCACGCCGGCCGGGUUGAAGGCCCGGAUCGGCGCCC
rnacentral:tRNA from 1 species